UAGUCCUUGACUAUCACCUUGACUAUGCGUACCUUUGUUGUUUCCUCGGCAGGUCUCCUGCCAGUGGAACCCUCUACAACCCUUUUGCAAUAGCAUCAAACUGA
rnacentral:rRNA from 1 species